UGGGAUGAAAUUUAAGACUUGGGACCACAGU
rnacentral:piRNA from 1 species